rnacentral:rRNA from 1 species
UGCAAGUCGAGCGAUGAAGCACCUUCGGGUGUGAAUUAGCGGCGAACGGGUGAGGAACACGUGAAGAAUCUGCCUUCAACUCUGGGAUAACUCCGGGAAACCGGGGCUAAUACCGGAUAUGAGCCUUGAUCGCAUGAUCGGGGCUGGAAAGUUUUUCGGUUGAAGAUGACUUCGCGGCCUAUCAGCUUGUUGGUGAGGUAAUGGCUCACCAAGGCGACGACGGGUAGCCGGCCUGAGAGGGCGACCGGCCACACUGGGACUGAGACACGGCCCAGACUCCUACGGGAGGCAGCAGUGGGGAAUAUUGGGCAAUGGAGGAAACUCUGACCCAGCGACGCCGCGUGAGGGAUGAAGGCCUUCGGGUUGUAAACCUCUUUCAGUAGGGAAGAAGCGAAAGUGACGGUACCUACAGAAGAAGCACCGGCUAACUAUGUGCCAGCAGCCGCGGUAAUACAUAGGGUGCAAGCGUUGUCCGGAAUUAUUGGGCGUAAAGAGCUCGUAGGUGGUUCGAUACGUCGGAUGUGAAAAUCAGGGGCUCAACCCCUGACCUGCAUCCGAUACGGUCGAGCUAGAGUUUGGUAGGGGAGACUGGAAUUCCUGGUGUAGCGGUGGAAUGCGCAGAUAUCAGGAGGAACACCGAUGGCGAAGGCAGGUCUCUGGGCCAAUACUGACACUGAGGAGCGAAAGCGUGGGGAGCGAACAGGAUUAGAUACCCUGGUAGUCCACGCCGUAAACGAUGAUAACUAGCUGUUGGGGCUCUUGGAGCUCCGGUGGCGCAGCUAACGCAUUAAGUUAUCCGCCUGGGGAGUACGGCCGCA